GCUGGGCGUGGUGGCUCAUGCCUGUAAUCCCAGCACUUUGGGAGGCUGAGGUGGGUGGAUCACCUGAGGUCAGGAGUUCGAGACCAACCUGACCAACAUGGAGAAACCCCAUCUCUA
rnacentral:sRNA from 1 species